UGCGGGAUAGAGCAGUGGCAGCUCGUCAGGCUCAUAACCUGAAGGUCGUAGGUUCGAAUCCUACUCCCGCUA
rnacentral:tRNA from 1 species